rnacentral:tRNA from 1 species
CCCCUAGUGGUUCAGUGGCUAAAACUUUGCACUCCCAAUGCAGAGGGCCCAGGUUUGAUCCCUAGUCAGGGAG